CUCCUGUAGCCCAUGAGGCCUUGUGGAACAGCCUCCUGCUUCUUGACCUCAGCCAGACCAUUGACCUCUUAUAAUAUGCCACCGCUAACAAACCGUUGGGCCCUCUGGCUCAUCUGCAUCUAGAAACUUCCAUGCACAUCCCUUGGCCUGGCAUGCUCUCCCCUCAGAUGUUGACGUGGCUCGUUCUACAUUCAGGUUUCUUCUUAAACAUCACUUCCUUCUGGAGCACCCAGAUUAAUACAGAGCUGUCCUCAAAUCCAUCACUGCUCACCCCCAUUCUGUUUUAUGUUUCUUCUAACACUUAUCAGUAACUAAAUAUUUACCUAAUUACCUGUUUACAUUUCUCUCCCAUCAGAAUAUAAGCCCCAGAAGGACAGAGACUUGUCUUAUUCAUGAAUGUCUCCCUAUAGAUUCUGACUCUAAGUCAGCACUGAGCCCAGGAAUCUAUUUUUAAUGGACAGCCCAGGGCAUUUGAAGCAACUAAGGAGAACAGCCCUUGGGAGACCUUAACUGACAUCAAACUGUCCUUAAACCUGAGGUGGUUGUUGUUGUUGUUGGAGGUUUAAUUUGCUGUUCAUCUGUUUUGCUAGUUUUUAAAGUAAAACUUUAAAAAAAAAAUCUUUCCAAGGUCCAGAAUGCCCAUGACUCAAUGUUGUAGUGAUCUGCCAGAAAUCAUUUAAAUAAUAAUAAUGAUAACUGCAGAGAAUUCUCUAGAAACAAGGUAUAAGCUCCAAAUAAUUGAGAAAUGACUCUGUGUUGAAGAAAUUAUCUGCAACUAGUUUGCAGUUUAUGAAGUAUUAAGAUGAUCACCUUUUGUCCAUUUUCAGCUCCUGUCACAUAACAUUCUUGUGGAACAUGCCCUACUUUUCUCAUUCUAAUGUCCAUGUUAUCAUCACCAAUCACCCUUUUGUGGCUUCAUUGGUUGUAAUGAUGUGCCCGAGGGAAGUAGGGUGGAAUCUUCGGUUAAGCACAUAUGUUUUUUUUUUUUCUGGGUCUGAGAAUACCUUCUGGAUCUUAGAAGUUUCUAAACUAAAAAGCCAUGUAAAAAAGUAACACCACCCGAACAAAAUUAAAGUCAACUUGUAUAUGAAAAUACUGGGGAAAAUGUAAAAAAUGUUGGGCUUACAGAGAUUUAGGAUUCUCUCUAUGCAGAUACUUAAAAGCCAUUUAAAACUGUAUCCAAAGGAUAUAUUUUUAAAUAAUAAUAAAAAACCCAAACCUAAUGGACCA
rnacentral:lncRNA from 1 species